UAAUUUCAAAAUCAGCAAGAUUUGAGUCCGGCGUCUUUUAGUGGGUCUGGACACCCGCCGCGGACGCGGUUCCGAGACCUUGUCUCGAAGCGGCUUCCUCGGCUCAUAUUAAUUUGGAAUAAUCCACCCAUUUCUAGGCCAAUCUCCCACCUUGGGUAGGAGCCCACGCGUCACAGGCUACAACAGCAACAACAACAACGACCACCCGAAGAAGCCGCCCGCAACACCAUGACCACAACGCCACCACGACGGGUAUCAGGUACUUGGGCGACAACGCCACCUUCGGCUUGGGCGACGCUGCAUACAGCUAGAGUUGCAGACGAGAAACGCGGUCGGCGUCCGAGCGCGUGCCACUCAUCCACGCGAAAGGAAAAGGAACAGCAUCCAAUCCAAAGCCUAUCCGUAGCAGAAAGCCUGAGCAGCCCCCUGAGCGACAAAGCGACGUCAUCAUUCGAAGCUAACGAAGAGCUCAAGCAUGUCCCGCAUUGUCCGAAUGGCUCUCUUCUCGCGGAAAUUCACCACCUCGGUCAUCCGCAGGAGCGCCCACGAUGAUCACGACACGUCCGGCAUCGUUGGCUCGAAUCUGCCGUUUAAGACCGACAACCGCUUCGGGCUAACCUUUAAGUUCGCCCUGUUCUUCGGCAUUCCUUUCGCGAUACCUUACGACGCUGUUAGGUUCCAUUUGACAAAGAAGACCGCUUGAAGUCGGAUUAUGUUACGCAAGAGCAAGCCCUUGUCUCUGUACCGGACUCUGUUCAAGAGCAGAAGCUAAGCUGUAAGCGUUCAUGUAAAAAAAAAUGAACACAAUUUUGUUCUGUGCUA